rnacentral:rRNA from 1 species
AUUGAACGCUGGCGGCAGGCCUAACACAUGCAAGUCGAACGGUAACAGGAAACAGCUUGCUGUUUCGCUGACGAGUGGCGGACGGGUGAGUAAUGUCUGGGAAACUGCCUGAUGGAGGGGGAUAACUACCGGAAACGGUAGCUAAUACCGCAUAACGUCGCAAGACCAAAGAGGGGGACCUUCGGGCCUCUUGCCAUCGGAUGUGCCCAGAUGGGAUUAGCUAGUAGGUGGGGUAACGGCUCACCUAGGCGACGAUCCCUAGCUGGUCUGAGAGGAUGACCAGCCACACUGGAACUGAGACACGGUCCAGACUCCUACGGGAGGCAGCAGUGGGGAAUAUUGCACAAUGGGCGCAAGCCUGAUGCAGCCAUGCCGCGUGUAUGAAGAAGGCCUUCGGGUUGUAAAGUACUUUCAGCGGGGAGGAAGGGAGUAAAGUUAAUACCUUUGCUCAUUGACGUUACCCGCAGAAGAAGCACCGGCUAACUCCGUG